rnacentral:rRNA from 1 species
ACUCAAAUGAAUAGACGGGGGCCCGCACAAGCAGCGGAGCGUGUGGUUUAAUUCGAUGAUACGCGAAGAACCUUACCUGGGUUUGACAUAUACGUAGUAGUGAAGCGAAAGCGGAACGACCCUUCGGGGAGCGUAUACAGGUGCUGCAUGGCUGUCGUCAGCUCGUGUCGUGAGAUGUUGGGUUAAGUCCCGCAACGAGCGCAACCCUCGUCGCUAGUUACAAGUGUCUAGCGAGACUGCUGGUAUUAAACCAGAGGAAGGUGGGGAUGAUGUCAAGUCAGCAUGGUCUUUAUGUCCAGGGCUACACACACGCUACAAUGGCCGGUACAGUAGGUUGCCACAUCGCGAGAUGAAGCUAAUCCUCAAAGCCGGUCCCAGUUCGGAUUGCAGUCUGCAACUCGACUGCAUGAAGGUGGAGUUGCUAGUAACCGCGCGUCAGCCAUAGUGCGGUGAAUGCGUUCCCGGGCCUUGUACACACCGCCCGU